GUACACUCCUACGGGAGGCAGCAGUGGGGAAUUUUGGACAAUGGGCGAAAGCCUGAUCCAGCAAUGCCGCGUGAGUGAAGAAGGCCUUCGGGUUGUAAAGCUCUUUUGUCAGGGAAGAAACGGUGAGAGCUAAUAUCUUUUGCUAAUGACGGUACCUGAAGAAUAAGCACCGGCUAACUACGUGCCAGCAGCCGCGGUAAUACGUAGGGUGCAAGCGUUAAUCGGAAUUACUGGGCGUAAAGCGUGCGCAGGCGGUUUUGUAAGUCUGAUGUGAAAUCCCCGGGCUCAACCUGGGAAUUGCAUUGGAGACUGCAAGGCUAGAAUCUGGCAGAGGGGGGUAGAAUUCCACGUGUAGCAGUGAAAUGCGUAGAUAUGUGGAGGAACACCGAUGGCGAAGGCAGCCCCCUGGGUCAAGAUUGACGCUCAUGCACGAAAGCGUGGGGAGCAAACAGGAUUAGAAACCCGGGUAGUCCCAUG
rnacentral:rRNA from 1 species